rnacentral:rRNA from 1 species
GAGUUUGAUCAUGGCUCAGGAUUAACGCUGGCGGCAUGCCUAAUACAUGCAAGUCGAACGGAGUAGCAAUACUUAGUGGCGAACGGGUGAGUAACACGUAUCUAAUCUACCAUUUAGUGGGGAAUAACUGUUGGAAACGACAGCUAAUACCGCAUAAUAUUGCUGGAUAAUUUCCAGUAAUGAAAGGAGCUUUCAAGCUCCGCUGAUUGAUGAGGAUGCGGCGCAUUAGCUAGUUGGUAGGGUAAUGGCCUACCAAGGCAAUGAUGCGUAGCCGAUCUGAGAGGAUGAACGGCCACAUUGGGACUGAGACACGGCCCAAACUUCUACGGAAGGCAGCAGUAGGGAAUUUUUCACAAUGGGCGAAAGCCUGAUGGAGCAAUGCCGCGUGACUGAUGAAGGUCUUCGGAUUGUAAAGGUCUGUUGUGAGGGAAGAAAUGGUAAAACAGGAAAUGGUUUUAUCUAUGACGGUACCUUACCAGAAAGCCACGGCUAACUAUGUGCCAGCAGCCGCGGUAAUACAUAGGUGGCAAGCGUUAUCCGGAUUUAUUGGGCGUAAAGGGUGCGUAGACGGUUUUGCAAGUCUGAGGUUAAAUUUAGGAGCUCAACUCCUAAUCGCCUUGGAAACUACAAGACUAGAGUAUAGGAGAGGUUAGUGGAAUUCCAUGUGUAGCGGUGGAAUGUGUAG